AGUUUUUUUUUUUUUUAAGUUUUAGUUCUUUUAAUUUUAUGUACACAAGUGUUAACUACUAAUGAGUAGCUAAACAUGUUUGUCUCCUCCCUUAGAGAGAUUUUAUGAAAUAAAUUAAAUAUUUUGUCUUUUUAAACGCUUUAUUUUUGCUCAACUUUCCGAUUUAGUAAAUACGUCGGAACUUAGUAAGGAGGAAGGUUGCAACUAUCCCUUGCGAGCACAUAGUUGGACGGAGCCUUGAGGGCAGACGGUCCGUAAAACGCAACAGGAACUGACUACUGAAGAAAACCAUUCGACUAAAGGUAUAAAGUUGUUUUAUGUUUAGAUUAAUUUUGAAGUGAUACGGAAGCAUGUUGGGCCAUUUUUAUGAUUUUAUAAAAUUGCUUUAUAAUUGUAGAAAAAUUCAUGAGGAUAAUUUUGCCUAAAAUAAUAUCAUGUUGGGGUUCUUUUUUAAUUUUAUACGAAUAUUG
rnacentral:lncRNA from 1 species